rnacentral:rRNA from 1 species
CCCUUAGACGUUCUGGGCCGCACGCGCGCUACACUGACCAGUGCAACAAGCAUCCGUCCUUGGCCGACAGGCCCGGGCAAUCUUUGAACGCUGGUCGUGAUGGGGAUAGACUUUUGCAAUUUUUGGUCUUCAACGAGGAAUUCCUAGUAAACGCAUGUCAUCAACUUGCAUUGAUUACGUCCCUGCCCUUUGUACACACCGCCCGUCGCACCUACCGAUUGAAUGGUCCGGUGAAGCCUCCGGAUUGGCGCGCACCUCGGUGCCGCCGAGAAGUUGGCUAAACCUUACCAUUUAGAGGAAGGUGAANUCGUAACA